rfam:Pantoea sp. PSNIH1, complete genome.
GUCAAUACUACGUCCCCUGGCAGGGCAAAGUAAACGAUGACCCACAGGGAACUCUGGGGUAAAAUACGUAUCAAAAUGCAAAACCGAUCCCUGACCCGGAAAGCUUUCCGGGUCAGGGUUCUUUU